AUUUUAAUAGCUUAUAGAAAGUUUAAUAUUGAAGAUAUUAAGAAAAUUUUUAAAAAAUUUUAAAAUA
rnacentral:tRNA from 1 species